GGAGAGGUCGCAUAGUGGUCUAGUGCACUGCCUUGGAAAGGCAGCAAGGUGUUACAACCUUCGGGAGUUCGAAUCUCCCUCUCUCCG
rnacentral:tRNA from 1 species